CAGGAUGAACGCUGGCGGCGUGCUUAACACAUGCAAGUCGAACGGGGAUGCCAUUUUUGAGGCGGUUAGUUUACUAAGCGCCAAGAUGCCGGCAUCUUAGUGGCGGACGGGUGAGUAACGCGUGGGUAACCUGCCUUAUACAGGGGGAUAACACUUAGAGAUAGGUGCUAAUACCGCAUAAGCGCACGGGGCUGCAUGGCCCAGUGUGAAAAACUCCGGUGGUAUAAGAUGGACCCGCGUCUGAUUAGCUUGUUGGCGGGGUAACGGCCCACCAAGGCGACGAUCAGUAGCCGGCCUGAGAGGGUGGACGGCCACAUUGGGACUGAGACACGGCCCAAACUCCUACGGGAGGCAGCAGUGGGGAAUAUUGGACAAUGGGGGGAACCCUGAUCCAGCGACGCCGCGUGAGUGAAGAAGUAUUUCGGUAUGUAAAGCUCUAUCAGCAGGGAAGAAAGAAAUGACGGUACCUGACUAAGAAGCCCCGGCUAACUACGUGCCAGCAGCCGCGGUAAUACGUAGGGGGCAAGCGUUAUCCGGAUUUACUGGGUGUAAAGGGAGCGUAGACGGUUAUGCAAGUCUGGAGUGAAAGGCGGGGGCCCAACCCCCGGACUGCUUUGGAAACUGUGUAACUGGAGUGCAGGAGAGGUAAGUGGAAUUCCUAGUGUAGCGGUGAAAUGCGUAGAUAUUAGGAGGAACACCAGUGGCGAAGGCGGCUUACUGGACUGUAACUGACGUUGAGGCUCGAAAGCGUGGGGAGCAAACAGGAUUAGAUACCCUGGUAGUCCACGCCGUA
rnacentral:rRNA from 1 species